GGUGAGUAUCGCGUGGGUAACCUACCCAGAGGUAGGGGAUAGCCUCGGGAAACCGGGGGUAAUACCGUAUAAGUCCUCGUUGACACAAGUCGGUGAGGGGAAAGGCGGGGAUCCUUCGGGACCUGUCGUCUCUGGAUGGGCCCGCGUCCGAUUAGCUUGUUGGUGGGGUAAUGGCCCACCAAGGCUGCGAUCGGUAGCCGGCCUGAGAGGGUGAACGGCCACAUUGGGACUGAGACACGGCCCAGACUCCUACGGGAGGCAGCAGUGGGGAAUUUUGGGCAAUGGGGGAAACCCUGACCCAGCGACGCCGCGUGGAGGAUGAAGGCCUUCGGGUUGUAAACUCCUGUCAGGUGGGAAGAAGAGCUUCGUGGUUAAUAGCCACGAGGAAUUGACGGUACCACCAAAGGAAGCCCCGGCUAACUCCGUGCCAGCAGCCGCGGUAAUACGGAGGGGGCAAGCGUUAUUCGGAUUUACUGGGCGUAAAGCGCACGUAGGCGGCAUGGUAAGUCAAAGGUGAAAGCCCUCGGCUCAACCGAGGAACUGCCUUUGAAACUGCUUUGCUUGAGUCCGGGAGGGGGGAGCGGAAUUCCCAGUGUAGCGGUGAAAUGCGUAGAUACUGGGAGGAACACCGGUGGCGAAGGCGGCUCCCUGGACCGGAACUGACGCUGAGGUGCGAAAGCGUGGGUAGCAAACAGGAUUA
rnacentral:rRNA from 1 species